ACACGUAGGGGCCUGACGUUGUUCGGAAUCAUUGGGCGUAAAGGGCGCGCAGGCGGCCGUCCAAGUCCGGUGUUAAAUGGUCGGGCUCAACCCGAUCAUGCGCUGGAAACUGGGCGGCUUGAGUCCCGUAGGGGAUGCCGGAAUUCCAGGUGUAGGGGUGAAAUCUGUAGAUAUCUGGAAGAACACCGAUGGCGAAGGCAGGCAUCUGGCCGGAGACUGACGCUGAGGCGCGAAGGCGCGGGGAGCGAACAGGUUUAGAUACCCUGGUAGUCCGCACAGUAAACGAUGUGCACCAGGUGGCGGGGGGUCGACCCCCGGUACCGUAGCUAACGCAUUAAGGGCACCGCCUGGGGAGUAUGCUCGCAAGGGUGAA
rnacentral:rRNA from 1 species